rnacentral:rRNA from 1 species
CAAUUAUCUACUCGAAAUCACCAGAAAUGUGCCCAGUCACAUUGAAUGUUGGAAGCUAAGCAGUUUGGAGCCUGGGAACGACUUGGAUGGGAGACUCCCCGAGUGCAUCAGGUGUUGA